GGGGGCGUGGGUGCUAAGGUCCACGCCCGAGAGGAGAAGAAUGCUGAUCACCGGCUAAGGCCCCGAAAUCCGGGCUAAGUUAAACUAACGAAGUGUGGUCCCCGUGACAGCUAGGAUGUUGGCUUGGAAGCAGCCAUUCAUUCAAAGAGUGCGUAACAGCUCACUAGUCGAGGGACUGUGCAUGGAUAAUAAUCGGGUAUGAAGCCCGGUGCCGAAGCCGUGGGAUGUCUUUUAUGACAUCGGUAGGGGAGCAUUCAUGCGGCCUUGAAGCCCAAGGGACGACCUUGGGUGGAGCUUCAUGAAAAGCAAAUGUAGGUAUAAGUAACGAUAAAGAGUGUGAGAUGCACUCUCGCCGAAAGACUAAGGUUUCCGGGGCAACGUUAAUCGGCCCCGGGUCAGUCGGGACCUAAGGCUCAUCCUAAUGGAGAGGCCGAUGGCAGAAACGGUUAAUAUUCCGUUACUAUCCUUUGGGGCGAUGUGGAGACGGAGGAGUGACACUUCCGCGGGCUGACGGAAUAGCCCGUUAAAGAUCGUAGGCGCCGACGAGGGCA
rnacentral:rRNA from 1 species